GGCGGACGGGCCCCGGGGAGUCCGCGGGUGGCAGGCGGGCGACUAGCGCGGCAGCCGGAGGGCAUCCCCGCCCCGCCCGGGACCCCCGGUGGGCGUGGCGUCGCCGGCCGGGGGAAGCAAGAGUAAUUUCAAGUCAGGCCCAGCAGUGACGACUUGGAAACCCAUCUUAAGAUGUCUCAGGCUAGGACAUGCAUGUGUAGUGGUGAGCCAGCUUUUACCAAACAAAUGAGGACAACACAAUGGAUGAUUCAAUGGUGGAGUAAUGAGACAGAAGAAAGGUACGGGUGAGUGAAGCCGAGCCACCUGCAUCCUGGACUUUCUGCCUGCCUCUGCUGUGUU